rnacentral:piRNA from 1 species
AAAUAUCAUUCUGAGGAGCUACA